GGCUGGGCGAAGUCUGAAGGAGGACGUGAGUGUGGAGGGAUGCCCAUUCCUCCAGGUCCAGCAUUGGGUCCUCCAGGCCUCCUCCUCCGGGGUAGUUGGGUCGGCCGUACAUGCCCUGCUGCAUGUACGCCUGGUUGGAGUUGCCUUUAUUGGGGAACUGCUGCUGAGGACCAGAGAACUGGGGGGAGUUCAUCCCUGGAUUGUUACCAGUCAUACCCGAGCCCAUUGGGUUGCCCCCGGGAUUCAUGGGAUUGUUGUUGUUGGCCAUGGGAUUCCCCAACCCCUGCUUGACAAAGACACACGAACAGGUACGGGAUCUCACCUGGCUCUGUGAUGUGUUGGUGACGCCCCAGACCGUUGUCACCACAGACAACGAACCUGGGGGCUGAUUGGUGUUCUGUUGCCAGGGAACAGAGUCGUAGGGAAAGGACCCAUCUCUGCAUGGGACAUGAAAAAUAUAUGUGAGCAAAACAAAAAAGCAUGAUAAAAUACAGUAAAUAUUUACAUCACUUAAUUAUCAUUGUGAAUGAUAACUA